CCUUCUUGCAUGUUUGAGUCAUCAGAUGGCCCCGUUCUUCUAAGGACACCAGUCACAGCGGGUUAGGAGCCCAGGCCACCCCAUUGUGACCUCGUCUCAGACUCACAAACUGCAUCACAAUGACCCCAUUCCACAUAAGGUCACAUCUGAGUCACUAGGGGUUAGGACUCUAAUGGAUCUUUUUUUUUUGCGGGGGAAAUGCCAUGUUCCUGUGAAAGAAAACGACACCCAAGCGCCAGCCAGUGGCAGAGCUGGGGUCUGAGUAUGAUUGGGCCACUCUGGUUACUAUAUCCCCAUAACUGCCUGGGCUCACCCAGCUCAGCCAGCUAGUAAAAAGUAUGUUAGUCCUUAAGAAAAAGGAGGUUGUAGCAGCUGUACCAAUGGAUCAGUACCACAGAAGUAAUGUGCAUUUAUUGUAGGAGAUGUGCCAAGUGGACAAAAGCACGGGGGUCCAGAAGGGUCAGCACCCCCCGCACCGUGUUCAUUGCCCUCGUCUGAAAACCUCGGAUCAGCCUCGUUCAUACUUCCUGAAAACUACCUUGGCCUUGUAAAGAGUCCCUCAUGGCUUUGCUAGAUUAUCGAGACCCGUGCUAAUACUUACUCAGGUGGCUUGAAGUAUGAAUUAGUUCCUUAAUCAUCAAGCCUGGGUCUGCUGUAGAAGCGUGUGUCCGGUGGUACAGUAAAAAUAACCGGCUCCUCUAAGGAAUAAAAAGUGACUUGAAACGCA